UACGAAGGGGGCUAGCGUUGCUCGGAAUUACUGGGCGUAAAGCGCACGUAGGCGGAUCGAUCAGUCAGGGGUGAAAUCCCAGAGCUCAACUCUGGAACUGCCUUUGAUACUGUCGAUCUAGAGUAUGGAAGAGGUGAGUGGAAUUCCGAGUGUAGAGGUGAAAUUCGUAGAUAUUCGGAGGAACACCAGUGGCGAAGGCGGCUCACUGGUCCAUUACUGACGCUGAGGUGCGAAAGCGUGGGGAGCAAACAGG
rnacentral:rRNA from 1 species